UUUUGAACUAUUAUUUUACAUUGCCGGCGCUAUUGUUUCCUCCGCCACUGUAUUCAGAAGGAGUAACCGAACAAAACGGUACUCUAAAAAGCAAACGACAAGAAAAAAAGGGAAAAUGCAAGAAUGCGCGCGGUCUUUUUCGUUUCUUUUGCAUUUCUCGCCACUUGCAAUUUGAUUUUCAAUUGAAAUUGCUGGUGCCUCUGUGAUUUGUGAAAUUAAUAUACCUAUACUUUGCGGUUUUAAUUUUCAAGGUGGACUUACAUCUACAUACAAGUUGUGUUUUUUAGGGUGGACCUAAGAACACAGAUUAAGUGAACAAAAAUAUCUUCAGUAGGAUAUUAAGUCCAAGUUUGAUAAUGGAGCUUAAUUAUGGCGGUACUAGGGACAGGGAAGGUUUUGCGUCCAACAUUCAUUUAAAUGAAACAUUAUUCGAGUCACAAAGGAGGGACGGCCACCGCUUCACCGACCACAUAAAAGACCUUUGACUGGCCUUCACUAGGGCUAAGAACAAAACUUACAAGGCUAAAAGUAUAGCAGAAAGGAUAAGAGAAGAAAAAAACGACCCGGAGUAAUUACAGUAAUUAUAAUUAAUUACAAUAAAU